UGUGGCUCAGUGGUAGAGCACUUGCCUAGCAUGUAUGAGGCACUGGGUUCAAUUCUCAGUA
rfam:Ictidomys tridecemlineatus contig025102, whole genome shotgun sequence.